rnacentral:rRNA from 1 species
AGCGGCAAAAGCUCAAAUUUGAAAUCCCCCGGGAAUUGUAAUUUGAAGAGAUUUGGGUCCGGCCGGCAGGGGUUAAGUCCACUGGAAAGUGGCGCCACAGAGGGUGACAGCCCCGUGAACCCCUUCAACGCCCUCAUCCCAGAUCUCCAAGAGUCGAGUUGUUUGGGAAUGCAGCUCUAAGUGGGUGGUAAAUUCCAUCUAAAGCUAAAUACCGGCGAGAGACCGAUAGCGAACAAGUACAGUGAUGGAAAGAUGAAAAGCACUUUGAAAAGAGAGUGAAAAAGUACGUGAAAUUGUUGAAAGGGAAGGGCUUGCAAGCAGACACUUAACUGGGCCAGCAUCGGGGCGGCGGGGAGCAAAACCACCGGGGAAUGUACCUUUCGAGGAUUAUAACCCCGGUCCUUACUCCCUCACCAUCCCGAGGCCUGCAAUCUAAGGAUGCUG